UGACUGUCUGCCUGUGUGUGUGUGGCUGUCUGCCUGUCUGUAUGUGUGGAUGUUUGCCUCGGUGUCAGUGACUGUCUGCCUCUGUGUGUGUGUGCGCACCUGCUAGUGAGGGAGCCUCUGUGUGUGUGUGCCUGCUAGUGAGUUUGUGUGUGUGUGCCUGCUAGUGAGUGAGCUUGUAUGUGUAUCAGUGAGCUUGUCUGUAGGGAUCAUAUGUGUGUGUGUUAGUGAGCUCUUGUCUGUAAGGAGUAUGGGUGUGAUCGUGGGCUUGUCUGUAGUGAGCGUGUGUGUCAGUUAGCUUGUCUGUAGUGAGCGUGUGUGUCAGUGAGCGUGUGUGUCAGUGAGCUUGUCUGUAGUGACCAUAUGUAUCAGUGAGCUUGUCUGUAGUGAGCGUGUGU